GUACACUCCUACGGGAGGCAGCAGUGGGGAAUUUUGGACAAUGGGCGAAAGCCUGAUCCAGCAAUGCCGCGUGAGUGAAGAAGGCCUUCGGGUUGUAAAGCUCUUUUGUCAGGGAAGAAACGGUGAGAGCUAAUAUCUCUUGCUAAUGACGGUACCUGAAGAAUAAGCACCGGCUAACUACGUGCCAGCAGCCGCGGUAAUACGUAGGGUGCAAGCGUUAAUCGGAAUUACUGGGCGUAAAGCGUGCGCAGGCGGUUUUGUAAGUCUGAUGUGAAAUCCCCGGGCUCAACCUGGGAAUUGCAUUGGAGACUGCAAGGCUAGAAUCUGGCAGAGGGGGGUAGAAUUCCACGUGUAGCAGUGAAAUGCGUAGAUAUGUGGAGGAACACCGAUGGCGAAGGCAGCCCCCUGGGUCAAGAUUGACGCUCAUGCACGAAAGCGUGGGGAGCAAACAGGAUUAGAAACCCCUGUAGUCCC
rnacentral:rRNA from 1 species